UGAUCGGGACCCGCGACGUUUGGAAGC
rnacentral:sRNA from 1 species